rnacentral:lncRNA from 1 species
CCUUGGAGCAUUAACCCCAAAACUCAAUCCCAGCCUUUCCUUUGUAGUAUGGAACCUUGUAGUAUGAUUUCAGAGAGAUCCAUACACUUAAACACAAGUUAUUGUCUGGAAACUAGAAAAAUGCUUCUUUUUGGCCCCCAAUUCCUACAUGUUUGGGCCAAUUAACCCCAAACUCAAUCCCAGCCUUGCCUUUGUUAUAUGGAACCUUGUGGUUCCAGAAAUGUGACAGAGUUGUCAAGCCACAACUGGAGAUUUGGAAAUUUUCUGCUGGAGUUUGGGCUUCAUAACUGGAGAUUUUAAAUCAACCUUUUAUCGACAUACGCAAUUUUUUUUUUUUUUUGUGUUUGAAGUGCAUAUUUUCCUUUUUUGUUAUUAAAGCAAUGAUUCCAUACCUUUAAACACCUGUAUAGCCAUUUUAACUUGAUAAAAAAAUUAUUAUGUAUAGUUCAAGAUAAGGUGAUUAGCCAUCAUACAUAGUUGGCAAAAAGUAUCUCUGCUUAAGCUGUAUUGUCAACUUUUGGUACCACUACUAAUCAUGCUAGUAACAGAAGGUGUUAAAAUGAUAUAGUUGUUGGCUUAGUGUUGGGUAACUGUCUCCAUAUUUGGUUAAGUCAUUAGGGCCACCAUAGUUAGCUUUGCAUGAAGUGUAGUAAGCAUGGUCUUGACCCUUGGCACUGGACUUGCAACAUUUGAAAUCAGAUCUCCAGACAGAGUUGAAUUUGGUAUUCUUUUUUUUUUAAUUUACUGCUGGGGUAAUUGGUGAUAACAUACGGUUUGCAUUUUGUCAAAUUAUAAAAAAAAUAGAAUUGUCCAAGACGAACAUUCUUAUAUAAGUAUUCCAUUGGCUUGGAUAGAAUACAAGCCAUAAAUAUCAUAUUUGAGUUGAUCUUAUUUGUCUCUGAGGUUCAGUUACUGAUCCUUGCAGAAUUGUUUCAACAGCAUCAAAUUAAAGAAUAAAGUCGUUGUUUAUACAAC